GGCUAAAUUUAGGUAACACAAUAUUGGGUGAUGAAAGUGGAAAAUAAAACCUAAACUAACAAGGUUAUUCUUGAAGAACGUCGACUAAGAGAAUGCGAACAAGCAAAAGAGAACAAGAUUGUCUUCACUAUAUUUUGGUGUUUUCUGUUUUACUUGAGAAAUAAAAUGCUAACACAAGCAGACUUCAAAUAUAAGCUAGAAAGUAGGAAAAUGUCUAGUUCAAGAUUGUAAGAUAGGAACAGAAAUGGUUCAUAUAACUAUCAUGUAUAUCACAAGAAAUUGAGACAACAAAAAGGAACACAUGUACUGGAGCCUAUCACAGGGACAAAGAAUCAAACAUGUUCAUAUAUCUGACUUCACAAUGAACAAUUACAACACAAGAUUCGCAACUAGUAACCUGAAUGUAAAAGACAAAUAACGAACGGGCGGUUCACAUAUAUUGAAAUAGUGUAAAACAGAGUACAAUCUAUCAAGUCUCCACUCUAAUUGUUCACAGAAAUUGCACGCACGCAUGCACAGGGGGGUAGCAGCAGGAUUUGAGGGAAAAAAGGAGAGAGGAGCAGCAGCAGUAGUAGGCAGGGGCAGAGGCAAGGAGCAGCAGGGGCGAGAAGAGAAGCAGCAGGGGCGCAUCAAGAGAAAGGAGCAGCAGCAGAUGCGUUAGGGGGGGAAGAGAAGUAGCAGCAGCAAGGGGAAGAAGAAGAAGAGCAGCAGUAAGGUUAGGAGAAGAAGAAAGGUGGAGGAGCAGCAGGGAGAUGGAUGGGAGGCGGCGUGAGGUGGUGAGGCGGUGCUGGUGGCGGCGUUGAUGGAGGUGCUGGGCGGCGCGAUGAAGGUGGAGGCGCGGUGGUGGAUCGGGUUGCGGAGGCGCGGUGGAGUGGUGGAGUGGUGAUGAUGGCGCGCCCACCACGCCGGCCUGGCUGUGGCAGCGGCCGGUGUUGGAGAAGGAGGUCGGGGAGAAGGAGAGAUGUGCCAGGCCCAAUUUGGGAAUGGAUGCGUCUAGGGAUUUUGAUCCCCAUCUGAUCUGCCACUUUUAUGAUUUGGCCCUCCUCUUCUAUUCAUUUCUUCCCAAGAAGGUCCCCUGGAUACUUCUUUUCUUCUCACUGAAGUCCUUGACGUAUUUCUUUCAUGCCCUUCUCUCUUCUGGUUAGCCAUAUAGUCUGGAAUCUUGACGAUUAUAGUGCCUUUGCGCACUUUUCUGCAAAAGAAACAAGUGACAAGUAAAUGAACCCUUUAUAUGAUUCUCAUUAAAAUACGCAGUAAUUCAUAGCAAGAAUUGAUUGUCAGAUCACAACAGAUGCUAUAUUUGGGUGUCAAAUUAUAUAUAUGAAAUGUGCUUAUCAAGUUCCCCCACACUUAAAUCUUUACUUGUCCUCAAGUAAAGGCAUAAGACAUGAACUAGAUAGUGAAUAGUGAACUGACUAGAAAAUGCUAAGUGAAGUAGAUCUCCAAACAAGGCAUGCUUCAGACUUAGCUAGUGAAAAUUAAUGGUUAAGAGUGCUACAAAGCAAUAUGAUACUAGUAGACUCAAUCAUUUUAAACUUUUACAAUGAUAAAAGAAGAUCAACAAGUUCAAACGAUGAUUGUGCCAAAUGGUUCCUAAAGAGAGCAUGAUCCCAAGAGAUACUUAUUACUAGGAACACAACAUUGUGGUAGAACCACUUAUUGAAUUUGAAGAAAGCAAUGAUAAUAUUUUAUCAGUCUCACCAAAGGAACAUACCACCGAUCCCGAGAACAUGGUAUACACCUAGCUCGACCAAUUAUUAGUUUUUUUGUUAUUGUCUCCCCAAAGGAACAUACCACCGAUCCAGAGAACAUGGUAUACACCUGGUUCGACAAUUGCAUUUUUAUGAAAUGAUUAAUUAAUGUCCAAGCUAACCAAAUUUCACAUGCCACCGAUCCAGGGAACAUGACAUGCUACUGUAGGUAGAUUAGACUUAUAUUUAUUAUUACAUAUUGAACAAAGGAAUUACAAUGGCAUGAAAACAUAAGGAAACAAGAAUCAUCACUCAUCCAUGUCUGGUUCACAUGCUACCGAUCCAGAGAACAUAGCAUGCUAAUCCAUAGUGGUCAAGUGAUUGCUCUGAAUGGGAACACACUUGGCACAAAUUCAGCAUCUAACACUUGAUGAUCUAGGUGUAUCAAAGUAAAUGCAGAAAAUGAUUAAGUUUCUUAGUGUACUAGGGAUUUGAGCAACUAAUUUCAGCCAAGCAAGCAUUGUGUAGAUCACUAGUUUACAAGGCAUUCAGCAAUCAGUUCACAUAUUCACAUCAAGCACCAUAUGUCAAAGGUAAAAUACAGUGGGACAACAUUUAAGAAAUGGCUCAAGCAACCCAAAUAGCAAUUGAUUGCAACAUGUAUAAUGUAUGAUGGUAUUCAGAUUGGGGUCAUGAAACAGCUCACCGGGCUUAUGUGAUGUAGGUCUCGCACAAUCGCUCACUGAACUGCAGCUCUCUCCUUUUGCUUCCUCAUACAUGCUCCAGCUUCGCUCUUCCUCAUGUGUGCUCAUUGCUUCUCCUCAUCACCAUGCCGUGAAUCCACCAGGAUCCCAUGGGAUGUCAUCUCGAACUUGAUCAGCCCGCAAUGAAUGGUGCACAAGCGUAAACCUGAAAGAAUACUCAACAAACAAGCCAAUACAAGUGAUAGGGACAAUGCCCUCUAAGUCAUCAAUAGAGUAUCCUAUCACAUAAGCAUAUCUAUUGAGCAUAUGAUAAAUAGAAAUCAUCAACAAAUCGCAUGGUGCAUAGGCAGUAUCCAUGAUAUGGCAUAUCUUGUCGAGAAAGUUGCGAUCAUACCUGAGAUAGUUAGGAAGAAGCUUCAGGACUACCUCAAUUGAAGAUACCAAGUGAGGUGUGGUAGUAGAAAUUUCCACCGGACUCGUGUCAACAAGUGAAAUAGUAGAGCUUGGCUCCUUGACAUCUGAAUCCACCUCACCAUAAUCAACCAUGAAGCUCUCCAUCUCAGGCUCAAGUGUUGAGGAAUCAAUGCGGAUAACAUCAUCGAAGGCGAACUUCUCCAUAUCUGGCUCUAGCAGCACAUGGUCAAUAUCAACUAAAGGUGUCUCCUCAAUAUCAAAAGCAACUAACUGCAGCUCUAGCUCAUCCAUGGAAGAAUCAUCACAAUGCAAAACUGAAUCUCCAACACUAGUAUCCAUAUGAUCUGUAGCGUGCGUGUCAACUAGAAUGGUAUCAUCAUCGUCAAAUAUAAUCCAUGCAAGCUCAAUCUUGUCACACUGAGAUAGAGGUUCAGGCUUUUGUGUAAGAGAUUCUUGCUGAGAUGAAGUGACUUGUUGCAAGCAAGCAACUGAAUCAGAGGUGGGCUCCUCAUUGUACCACUGAAGUUGGUGGAAGGCUAUGUUCUCAAUCAGCAGAAAAGCAUCAUCAAGUGUCUUGUUUGUAAUAGCUCCACCGAUGCCAUAUCGACGUAAGCUCGAGUGUCCGAAGUCAAUCCUCUAUAGAAUAUCUGCAGCUCUAACCAUCUCUCGAGCCCAUGAUUAGGACAUCUCCUGAACAAGGCUUUGUACCUCUCCCAAGCAUCAUACAAACUCUCGCCUUCACGCUGAACAAAGUUGAAGAUCUCAUCUCGAAUCACGGACUGCUUGUGUAGUGGGAAAUAUUUAUCCAAGAAUGCUUGUGAUAUCUCAUUCCAACUGCAUGACCUUGAUGGCAAGGAUCGGUACCAAGCACGAGCAUCAUCACAGAGAGAUAAUGUGAACAGCAUGCACUUGAUAGCAUCUUGAGGAACUUCAUGGUACUUUACUGUAUCUGAAUACUCCAGGACUCGGAGCAAGUGCUCGUAAGGAUCUUCAGUAGGCAACCCUCCAAACUGAUGUUGUUGAACCAAAGCAAUAAGACCAGGCUUUAGCUCAAAAUUUUCCGCCUCAAAAGACAGCCAAAGUGGCCCUGUGAAAUAGCAUUGGCUGCUUGGCAUCCAAACAUCACGAAGCAUCGCCAUAUCUCCACCAAGUGUAACUAUCAAUCAACCUGUAAAUAGUUCAGAUUUCCUACGCACACUCAUAAACCGUAAACACUAGUCAGAAAGUUAGUAUCCUAAUAAGCCGAAGCAACAAAAAGUAAAAAGGUAAGAGGAGCACAUAAAUAAAUUUGACUGGAAAUUUAAACAAAAACUAUACUAAGCCUAGUCUAUAGCUUCACACCGUCGCUCGACGCUAGUCCCCGGCAACGGCGCCAAAAUGAUCAAUUGGAAGUAGAGUGGGUUUUUACACCCAAACUACGGAUGCCGUGUUCUCCACAGGGACUAGGCGACGACAACUAUGCUCGGCUAAAUCUAGGUAACACAAUAUUGGGUGAUGAAAGCGGAAAAUAAAACCUAAACUAACAAGGUUAUUCCUGAAGAUCGUCGACUAAGAGAAUGCGAACAAGCAAAAUAGAACAAGAUUGUCUUCACUAUAUUUUGGUGUUUUCUGUUUUACUUGAGAAAUAAAAUGCUAACACAAGCAGACUUCAAAUAUAAGCUAGAAAGUAGGAAAAUGUCUAGUUCAAGAUUGUAAGAUAGGAACAGAAAUGGUUCAUAUAACUAUCAUGUAUAUCACAAGAAAUUGAGACAACAAAAAGGAACACAUGUACUGGAGCCUAUCACAGGGACAAAGAAUCAAACAUGUUCAUAUAUCUGACUUCACAAUGAACAAUUACAACACAAGAUUCGCAACUAGUAACCUGAAUGUAACAGACAAAUAACGAACGGGCGGUUCACAUAUAUUGAAAUAGUGUAAAACAGAGUACAAUCUAUCAAGUCUCCACUCUAAUUGUUCACAGAAAUUGCACGCACGCACGCACGCACAGGGGGUAGCAGCAGGAUUUGAGGAAAAAAAGGAGAGAGGAGCAGCAGCAGUAGUAGGCAGGGGCGGAGGCAAGGAGCAGCAGGGGCGAGAAGAGAAGCAGCAGGGGCACAUCAAGAGAAAGGAGCAGCAGCAGAUGCGUUAGGGGAAGAAGAGAAGUAGCAGCAGCAAGGGGAAGAAGAAGAAGAAGAGCAGCAGUAAGGUUAGGAGAAGAAGAAAGGUGGAGGAGCAGCAGGGAGAUGGAUGGGAGGCGGCGUGAGGUGGUGAGGCGGCGCUGGUGGCGGCGUUGAUGGAGGUGCUGGGCGGCGCGAUGAAGGUGGAGGCGCGGUGGUGGAUCGGGUUGCGGAGGCGCGGUGGAGUGGUGAUGAUGGCGCGCCCACCACGCCGGCCUGGCCGUGGCAGCGGCCGGUGUUGGAGAAGGAGGUCGGGGAGAAGGAGAGAUGUGCCAGGCCCAAUUUGGGAAUGGAUGCGCCUAGGGAUUUUGAUCCCCAUCUGAUCUGCCACUUUUAUGAUUUGGCCCUCCUCUUCUAUUCAUUUCUUCCCAAGAAGAUCCCCUUCUUCUUUUAGCUUGCUCACUUGGAUACUUCUUUUCUUCUCACUGAAGUCCUUGACGUAUUUCUUUCAUGCCCUUCUCUCUUCUGGUUAGCCAUAUAGUCUGGAAUCUUGACGAUUAUAGUGCCUUUGCGCACUUUUCUGCAAAAGAAACAAGUGACAAGUAAAUGAACCCUUUAUAUGA
rnacentral:lncRNA from 1 species